CGCAAUGGGCGCAAGCCUGACGGAGCAAGACCGCGUGCGGGAGGACGGCCUAUUGGUUGUAAACCGCUUUUGAUAGGGAAGAAGUUCUGACGGUACCUAUCGAAUCAGCAUCGGCUAACUCCGUGCCAGCAGCCGCGGUAAUACGGAGGAUGCAAGCGUUAUCCGGAAUUAUUGGGCGUAAAGCGUCCGUAGGUGGUUGUUCAAGUCUGCUGUUAAAGCGUGCGGCUUAACCGCAUACCAGCAGUGGAAACUGGGCGACUAGAGUGCGGUAGGGGUCAGGGGAAUUCCCAGUGUAGCGGUGAAAUGCGUAGAUAUUGGGAAGAACACCGGUGGC
rnacentral:rRNA from 1 species